rnacentral:lncRNA from 1 species
AACCUAUGCCAAGGCAAAAUCUAGGGCGAAGAAGGAUGCAGAAAGCAAAGCUGCUAACCAGGAGAAGACAGCAGAAGCAGAAAGCAAAGCUAACCAGGAGAAGUCAACAGCAGAAAGCAAACCUAGCCAGGAGAAAUCAACGGACGCAGAAAGCAAAGCUAAGACAACGGAAGAUGCUUCUGGUUCUACUUCAGGCGAGGCAGCUAAGACACAGGAGAAGGAUGGUGAUGCAAUGCAGGUAAGAAUAAGACUUAACUGUAUAUGAUUCGCUUCACUUUUUUCCAUCAUGUGUUCACAUUCAAGAAUUUUACCAGCUCAUAAUUAAGUCAUGCUAGUUACUUCUCUUGCUUUACAACCAUGCU